rnacentral:rRNA from 1 species
CUAGAUUAGAGUUUGACCCUGGCUCAGGAUGAACGCUGGCGGCGUGCCUAACACAUGCAAGUCGAACGGGACCUUUUCGGAGGUUCAGUGGCGCACGGGUGCGUAACACGUAGCUCAUCUGCCCCGGAGCGCGGGAUAACGCCUCGAAAGAGGUGCUAAGACCGCAUACGCUCACCCACUGUAGAGGUGGGUGAGGAAACAACUUCGGUUGCUCUGGGAGGAGGCUGCGGCCCAUCAGGUAGUUGGGGGGGUAAGAGCUUCCCAAGCCGACGACGGGUCGGGGGUCUGAGAGGAUGACCCCCCACACUGGGACUGAGACACGGCCCAGACUCCUACGGGAGGCAGCAGUGAGGGAUAUUGCGCAAUGGGGGAAACCCUGACGCAGCGACGCCGCGUGGGCGAUGAAGGCCUUCGGGUCGUAAAGCCCUUUUCCCAUUGAGGAAGAGCGCUUCGGCGUUUUGACAGUAGAUGGGGAAGAAGUCUCGGCUAACUACGUGCCAGCAGCCGCGGUAAAACGUAGGAGGCGAGCGUUAUCCGGAGUUACUGGGCGUAAAGCGCGUGCAGGCGGUCGGAUAAGUGGCUGGUGAAAGCCCCUGGCUCAACCAGGCGAGUGCCGGUCAGACUGUUCGGCUGGAAUGUCGGAGAGGGACGCGGAAUUCCGGGUGUAGCGGUGAAAUGUGCAGAGAUCCGGAGGAACACCAGCGCCGAAAGGGGCGUCCUGGACGAUAAUUGACGCUGAGACGCGACAGCGUGGGGAGCGAACGGGAUUAGAGACCCCGGUAGUCCACGCCGUAAACGAUGCCAACUCGAUGUCGGUGCCUCGAAAGGGGUUUCGGUGUCCAAGUUAACGCGAUAAGUUGGCCGCCUGGGGAGUACGGUCGCAAGGCUAAACUCAAAGGAAUUGACGGGGCCCGCAC